CAAAGUAAUUGAGUGGUUACCCUGAUUUUUAUUGGGGAGGAAAGUCCGGACAUUUAGCUUCAAUUUAUUUUGGAGUAAAGGUAGCGGGUAACGCCCGUCCGCAGUGAUGCGAGAGGUGCGAGCAGAGACGCUUUGAUUCGAAAGAGUCGAGCACCCUUCGGGGUGAGUUCUUAUAGUAAUAUGAGAAGUGAAACGGCCAAAUCCUUACCUGAAUGCAAGACCGUAUUCCAAUGCUUUGCAUUGGUUUGUGUCGCUCGAGCUUGUCAGUAAUGGCAAGCCCAGAUAAAUGAUCACUAAUACAGAAUCCGGCUUAUAGAUUACUUUGAUAU
rnacentral:RNase_P_RNA from 3 species